UUUAACAUAAAGGACUAAGAAGACAGACACCAAAUCAGAACUGCAGUUACAUACGUUCAUGCAUCAGUAACCUAAAAAGUGUAUUCUUUGAUGAGAGAAAUAAGUUUUCCUCCCUUCUCAAGGACUUUGGAUAACUUUACUUUCCACCCCAAUACAGAACAAACAUCAGCACAGAGGUAUCAGCUUCCAAGACUCACCUCAUCUCUGAUUUUACCUGGAAUGCAAUUAUGCGUUUAACAGCCUGCAGGCUUUUGAUUCAGAUAAUCGCGAAGAGGUCUUGCUACAGAGCUAGGAAGAUCCAAAGAAGAAAGUAGAAUGGAAUUAGGAGAUCUGCUGAAAUAUGAAGUUGCAUUAUCAAGUAAUAUAUAAACAUGCAAAAGGAGGGGUAGAAGCUUGAGUUGCAACCAAGGAAAUAACAGAAACCAUCUGAGAAGAUUCACCCACACUGCAUGUCUAAUAGCCUUCCUGCGGGUAUAGGAAUAUUUUCUGCUUUAAAGGAGUUACAUUCUAAGAAAAAAAAAUCUACAAUAACAAUGUCUACCAUAGUGUCAAUUCAAGUUAUGAAGCACCUGUCCUUGCAAUAAGAUACUACAUCAUCACAUGGACUACAUAUUAGAGCUCCA
rnacentral:lncRNA from 1 species